GAAAUGCGAUAAGUAAUGUGAAUUGCAGAAUUCAGUGAAUCAUCGAAUCUUUGAACGCACAUUGCGCCCGCCAGUAUUCUGGCGGGCAUGCCUGUUCGAGCGUCAUUACAACCCUCAGGCCCCCGCGCCUGGCGUUGGGGAUCGGCGGAAGCCCCCUGCGGGCACAACGCCGUCCCCCAAAUACAGUGGCGGUCCCGCCGCAGCUUCCAUUGCGUAGUAGCUAACACCUCGCAACUGGAGAGCGGCGCGGCCACGCCGUAAAACACCCAACUUCUGAAUGUUGACCUCGAAUCAGGUAGGAAUACCCGCUGAACUUAAGC
rnacentral:misc_RNA from 1 species